GACAGAGGGUGCAAACGUUGUUCGGAAUUACUGGGCGUAAAGCGUGCGCAGGCGGUUUUGUAAGCCAGAUGUGAAAUCCCCGGGCUUAACCUGGGAAUGGCAUUUGGGACUGCAAGGCUGGAGUUUGGCAGAGGAGACUGGAAUUCCUGGUGUAGCGGUGAAAUGCGCAGAUAUCAGGAGGAACACCGGUGGCGAAGGCGGGGUCUCUGGGCCGAUACUGACGCUGAGGAGCGAAAGCGUGGGGAGCGAACAGG
rnacentral:rRNA from 1 species